rnacentral:rRNA from 1 species
UACGUAGGGGGCAAGCGUUAUCCGGAUUUACUGGGUGUAAAGGGAGCGUAGACGGCAGUGCAAGUCCGGAGUGAAAUGCCGGGGCUCAACCCCGGAACUGCUUUGGAAACUGUGCAGCUAGAGUGCGGGAGAGGUAAGCGGAAUUCCUAGUGUAGCGGUGAAAUGCGUAGAUAUUAGGAGGAACACCAGUGGCGAAGGCGGCUUACUGGACCGUAACUGACGUUGAGGCUCGAAAGCGUGGGGAGCAAACAGG